UACGUAGGGAGCAAGCGUUGUCCGGAUUUACUGGGCGUAAAGCGCGUGUAGGCGGCUUUGCAAGUCGGAUGUGAAAGCCCACGGCUCAACCGUGGAAGUGCAUCCGAAACUGCAUGGCUUGAGUCUCGGAGAGGAAGGUGGAAUGCUUGGUGUAGAGGUGAAAUUCGUAGAUAUCAAGCAGAACACCUGCGGCGAAGGCGGCCCUCUGGACGAUGACUGACGCUGAGACGCGAAAGCGUGGGGAGCAAACAGG
rnacentral:rRNA from 1 species